UACGGAGGAGGCAAGCGUUAUCCGGAAUUAUUGGGCGUAAAGCGUCCGCAGGUGGUGUUUCAAGUCUGCCGUUAAAGACCGGGGCUCAACCCCAGAAAGGCGGUGGAAACUGAAAGACUAGAGUGCGGUAGGGGCAGAGGGAAUUCCCGGUGUAGCGGUGAAAUGCGUAGAGAUCGGGAAGAACACCGGUGGCGAAAGCGCUCUGCUGGGCCGCAACUGACUCUCAGGGACGAAAGCAUGGGGAGCAAAAGGG
rnacentral:rRNA from 1 species